rnacentral:tRNA from 5 species
GGGGGUGUAGCUUAGUGGCUCAAAGCGAUCGCCUGUCGAGCGAAAGAUCGUGGGUACUGCUACGCAGAAGCAAGCUACAAAUCCCAUCUCCCCCG